AAUAGAUACCCAGGUAGUCCUGGCCCUAAACGAUGAGUGCUUGGUGUGGCGGGUAUCGAUCCCUGCCGUGCCGAAGCUAACGCAUUAAGCACUCCGCCUGGGGAGUACGGUCGCAAGGCUGAAACUCGAAAGGAAUUGACGGGGGCCCGCACAAGCGGUGGAGCAUGUGGUUUAAUUCGACGCAACGCGAAGAACCUUACCCAGGCUCGAAAUGCAGACGAUCGCCGGUGAAAGCCGGUUCCCGCAAGGGCGUCUGUAUAGGUGCUGCAUGGCUGUCGUCAGCUCGUGUCGUGAGAUGUUGGGUUAAGUCCCGCAACGAGCGCAACCCUUGUCUUCUGUUGCCAUCAGGUCACGCUGGGCACUCUGGAGAAACUGCCGGUGACAAACCGGAGGAAGGUGGGGAUGACGUCAAGUCAGCAUGGCCUUUAUGUCUGGGGCUACACACGUGCUACAAUGGCCGGUACAAACCGCUGCAAACUCGCGAGGGUGAGCUAAUCGGAGAAAGCCGGUCUCAGUUCGGAUUGU
rnacentral:rRNA from 1 species